GUAAUAGUAUAAGUUACUUUCUUUUCUCUUUUUAUAUUCUUCCGAGUUAUAAGUAUCUGCAACAUAGCAGAAGAACAAGUUUUUUCAUGAAAGCACGUACAUGCGUUGCAAAAGGACUUGAAGAUGUUUGAAAUGCCAGUCGCGUCCCAGCUUGUUGCUGUUGCACAUAUUGGGCACCAACGUAUGGCUGCUGCACAUAGAGAAUGAACCGAUGUUACUGGAUCAACUGGGACUGGUCCAUGACUGAUUGGAGUUCCUUGUGCCAUAGUUUCACCCGGCACCUACAAAAUGAAGAGAGAAUCAUUAAUUGUGAGAGAAACUUUGAACAACAUGUGAGACAAACAUGGACUUUUCCUCCCAUGAAGUUAUCUCAGAGACAAAACCUGCGUGCCCAUCAGGAAUUUUCCAUACUGCUCCAAGAUUGCUGCAGAAAAACAAAGGGAGAAGAAAAAAUCAGAAGGUUUUCAGAUCCAAAAAGAAGAAAGGGAACAAGAUCAGGAAAAUUGAAAAAGAAAGGAGUUGCAGAUGGAUCCAUGGACGCACAAACUCACCCUGGAUGUAUACACCAAACCUUUUUGAGGCUCCUUAAUAUCUAUCCAUGAAUUGAGAAGCAAAGGAUAAAUGUUGGAAAUAAAAACGGCGCAGCAAGGCGCGCGUAUGCUUCUAGUCAUAUCUAAUCUGCUAAGCUAAUCUUGGAGAUCUUGGGGCUUUGGGUUCCUCUGGCUCCAAUCAAAAAUGAAGAUCUCCCUCGGGCGGUCGCCCAUUUAUUGGUUCCUUGGUCGGUUGCCUUGGCCAUCUCUGUCUUGGUCUCCUUCUUUGUAUCCACUUCGGAGUCCUUGUAGCCUUGAAGCCUCUCAUGUAAAUAAACCAUUGGUGACAUGUUUACGAAGUCAGUGCUUUAGGUUUGGGCCCCCUUUUGUCAUCCUUUCUUGGGCUUCGAAGUCCCAAACAGGGUACAUGUUGUGUAGUGAAGUGGGGAGGUCCACUUCCCCUCGACAUAUACAAACUUGUAUUAGCGCAUCAUAACUACAAUCAAGUUUUUAAAUA